rnacentral:rRNA from 1 species
UACGGGGGGAGCAAGCGUUGUUCGGAUUUACUGGGCGUAAAGGGCGCGUAGGCGGUCAGCACAAGUCAGUUGUGAAAUCUCCGGGCUUAACUCGGAAAGGUCAACUGAUACUGUGCGACUAGAGUGCAGAAGGGGCAACUGGAAUUCUCGGUGUAGCGGUGAAAUGCGUAGAUAUCGAGAGGAACACCUGCGGCGAAGGCGGGUUGCUGGGCUGACACUGACGCUGAUGCGCGAAAGCUAGGGGAGCGAAUGGG